ACCAGGCCUUGACAUGCAGAGAACUUUCCAGAGAUGGAUUGGUGCCUUCGGGAACUCUGACACAGGUGCUGCAUGGCUGUCGUCAGCUCGUGUCGUGAGAUGUUGGGUUAAGUCCCGUAACGAGCGCAACCCUUGUCCUUAGUUACCAGCACGUUAUGGUGGGCACUCUAAGGAGACUGCCGGUGACAAACCGGAGGAAGGUGGGGAUGACGCCAAGUCAUCAUGGCCCUUACGGCCUGGGCUACACACGUGCUACAAUGGUCGGUACAAAGGGUUGCCAAGCCGCGAGGUGGAGCUAAUCCCAUAAAACCGAUCGUAGUCCGGAUCGCAGUCUGCAACUCGACUGCGUGAAGUCGGAAUCGCUAGUAAUCGUGAAUCAGAAUGUCACGGUGAAUACGUUCCCGGGCCUU
rnacentral:rRNA from 1 species